rnacentral:rRNA from 1 species
GAUCCUGGCUCAGGACGAACGCUGGCGGCGCGCCUAACACAUGCAAGCCGAACGAGCGAGAGAGAGCUUGCUUUCUCGAGCGAGUGGCGAACGGGUGAGUAACGCGUGAGGAACCUGCCUCAAAGAGGGGGACAACAGUUGGAAACGACUGCUAAUACCGCAUAAGCCCACGGGCCGGCAUCGACCAGAGGGAAAAGGAGCAAUCCGCUUUGAGAUGGCCUCGCGUCCGAUUAGCUAGUUGG